UUGAGCCUUGGUAUGGAAAAAUCCGUUGGUUUUAUAAACCGUGAGGGUUCAAGUCCCUCUAUCCCCA
rnacentral:tRNA from 1 species